UCGCAAGAGUGAACUAGCUAACUGAAAUCAUAGAAUUUCUUCAAAUUCAUGAUGUCGUAAGGGAAAAUAAUGAUAAUACCUUACUAUGAGUGUCGUCCAAAUCUGGUGCCAGAAGACUCGGUAAUACCAGAGACGCAAACGUUAAUCAUCAUAAACAGGCGUAAAGGGUGUGUAGGCAGCUAUCAGAUGACUAUGAUUAUAAAAUAAAGUAGUCUAAUUGAUAGCUAGAAUCAAACAGAGGUUAUGGUGUAUAACGCCUAGAGGAGGGCUGAUAUCCUUAGAUCCUAGGCAGAAUACUCAGGGCGAAGGCCACUUUCCACUAAUGAUUGACGCUGAGACACGAAGGUUAGGGUAGGAAAUAGGAUUAGAUACCCCGGUACUCCUUUCUGUAAACGAUGAAUGGUAGUCAUUAGUACAAUAAUUUAACUAGAGACGAAGUUAACACAAUAACCAUUCCGCCUUGUGAGUACUACUGCAAAGUAGAAAACAAAAAAAUUAGUCGGUCUCGAAGCAAACGGAGUGAAGCAUGUUAUUUAAUACGAUAAUCCGCGUAAAACCU
rnacentral:rRNA from 1 species